AGAGUUUGAUCCUGGCUCAGAAUGAACGUUGGCGGCGUGGAUUAGGCAUGCAAGUCGAGCGAGAACCCCGCAAGGGGGGACAGCGGCGAAAGGGACAGUAAUGUGUAGAUCAUCUGCCCUCAGGCCCGGGAUAGCUGCGGGAAACUGCAGGUAAUACCGGAUAACAUCUCCGGAUCAAAGGUGUGAUUCCGCCUGGGGAUGAGUCUACAUCCUAUUAGCUAGUUGGCGAGGUAAUGGCUCACCAAGGCAUUGAUGGGUAGCGGGUGUGAGAGCACGACCCGCGUCAUUGGGACUGAGACACUGCCCAGACACCUACGGGUGGCUGCAGUCGAGAAUCUUCGGCAAUGGGCGCAAGCCUGACCGAGCGACGCCGCGUGUGGGAUGAAGGCCUUCGGGUUGUAAA
rnacentral:rRNA from 1 species